UCCAGACUCCUACGGGAGGCAGCAGUGAGGAAUAUUGGUCAAUGGGCGAGAGCCUGAACCAGCCAAGUCGCGUGAGGGAAGACGGUCCUACGGAUUGUAAACCUCUUUUGUCAGGGAGCAAGGAGCGCCACGAGUGGUGCGGCGAGAGUACCUGAAGAAAAAGCAUCGGCUAACUCCGUGCCAGCAGCCGCGGUAAUACGGAGGAUGCGAGCGUUAUCCGGAUUUAUUGGGUUUAAAGGGUGCGCAGGCGGAAGAUCAAGUCAGCGGUAAAAUUGGGGGGCUCAACCUCUUCGAGCCGUUGAAACUGGUUUUCUUGAGUGAGUGAGAAGUAUGCGGAAUGCGUGGUGUAGCGGUGAAAUGCAUAGAUAUCACGCAGAACUCCGAUUGCGAAGGCAGCAUACCGGCGCUCAACUGACGCUCAUGCACGAAAGUGUGGGUAUCGAACAGGAUUAGAUACCCUAGUACC
rnacentral:rRNA from 1 species